rnacentral:misc_RNA from 1 species
AAGACUAUAGACCUGCGGAGUACCUGCGGAGGGAUCAUUAGUGAACGCCCUCACGGGCUUAUAACUAUUCCAAACCUCUGUGAACCGUGCCCUUCGGGGCUAUUUUACAAACAUGGCGUAAUGAACGUCAUAUAUCAUAACAAAACAAAACUUUCAACAACGGAUCUCU